AGUCAAGAUUUGAUCCUGCAGUCUCUCUCCAACUUCUUCUCUCAGUUUGUCAUAAAUUACCAUAUGAACAAACUAAACAUCAGUCUGCCUGAGCUGUUAAAUAUGUUGAAAACAGUAGAAAGCCAUUUCAAGGGUAAAAAGGCUUUGGUUCUUUUUAUCGAUAGGAUCAACAAGAAGAAACGUAAGAAGGGUUCCAAAAAAAAGCUGAAACCCUAAGGCUGGCAUCUUCAAGAAGAAGACGAAGAAAGUCUCCGUCAAAGGUACUUGCUAUCACUAUGGCAAGGAGGGCU
rnacentral:lncRNA from 1 species